rnacentral:sRNA from 1 species
UGAAGAUUCGGUUAAGGUAGGAGAGUGA